UACGAAGGGGGCUAGCGUUGCUCGGAAUUACUGGGCGUAAAGGGCGCGUAGGCGGACAUUUAAGUCAGAGGUGAAAUCCCGGAGCUCAACUUCGGAACUGCCUUUGAUACUGGAUGUCUUGAGUGUGAGAGAGGUAUGUGGAACUCCGAGUGUAGAGGUGAAAUUCGUAGAUAUUCGGAAGAACACCAGUGGCGAAGGCGACAUACUGGCUCAUUACUGACGCUGAGGCGCGAAAGCGUGGGGAG
rnacentral:rRNA from 1 species